UAGCCAAAAAAAUUAGACUUAGGUCCGUAGUAUCUCCACCACAAAGAACAAAUUAUAAACACCAACAACAGAAAAAAAAUCACUCGACGGAGAAUUUUCGUUAUUCUCCGAUCUACAUCUGUUCUCUCUUCUCUCUACUUCUUCUUCAUCUUCUUCUCUUUAUUUUCUGCCGAUCUUUCUUCUCAGAUCUGUCGUUCUUCUGCUGAAAUCGAAUUUGGAACAAAGAUCUACAUACCCUUGAUUCAAUUGUUAUUUUGAUUCAGUGUUGGAGCAACGGAGCAACGGAGUCGCGAGGGUGGUGACGAGGAUGCGGAAGAUGGAAGAAGAAGAAGCUGAGAGGCGGAUCCAUCGGCAGCGUCACCGUGGAGGAGAAUCGCCACAGGAAGGGAGAAGAUGAACGACAAUAAUCUCGACGAAACGGUCAAAGGGGAAUCAAAGAGAGAGAGAUUCAUGUCUCGGCCAUUCCUUUUUUAAGCACCGACUUCCUUCUCGAUGGCUGGAGAGGUUUGGGAGCUGUUCAUGAGCUCAUAAAAAGAGAAAGGGUCUACGAGGAGGUUGAUUUUGAAUUUGCUUCUCAUUUCGGUUUGAUUUUGAAUUGAAUCAGACUUUGGUUUUUUUUUUUUAUUUGUCUUCCUUUUGAUGUGAUUUGGUUUUGUAGGGCAUUGAGAAGCUUGUAAAAACCCACCGUUGAAAAGUGAGAAACCAAAAAUGUUUUGUGUUUUAGGUUUUUAUCUCGAUUUAGCUUGACAGGUAAAGUUUUGAUUUUAUGUUACUUAAUCAUCGCAGAUACUAAAUCGAAUUGCCAUGGCCAAGAACUCCUUCAAGCUUUCUAAAUCCUCUAAGUUAGUUUUGUUCUUUUCUCUCUUCUUCUUUUUACUUUUUGAUUGAUUGAUAUCACUUGAUAAGAGUUUAAAGAAUUUUUGUUGAUGAUGUUUACUUCUUUGGUUUCUUUUGAUCUUGUGUUGCUUUGGAUUGUGUUGUGAUUCUGAUCUUUGUUUAAGGAACUCAAUUUUGAUUAGCCUGGUUACGAGUUUGAGAUUGGUUUCUCUGUUUGUUGGUGAUCAACAUCUAUAAGUAUGUUAACCUUGACUGGUUUUAGUUGUUGUGCUUAAGUCAGGUUUUUGUCUUAUGCAUUGACUCUGAGUUUCACUCCUAUGCUUAUCUAUAUUUGCUGAGACUGUUGUUAGAAGUAUUGCUAAGGAAGUGUUGUUUGAUUUCGCAUACCUUUUUAUGCUCUUGUAAAAGCUUAUUAUUUUGUCGUCUUGCCUUGGCCAGAGUUUGUUUACUAUUUUCUUAGACUACAGUUUGCAAUGUCUUCGAUGUAUAGGUUGAAGCAACUGUUAGAGCUACAGGGCAGUAUCCAGAACGUUUAGGUGAACCCCCAUGCCAGUGAGUGCAGCUCAAGAUAUUGUUGUCUCAAGUGCAGUCUCAAGUCAAGUCCCAAGUGAGUGUGCAGCCCAAAAUCUAUAUAGAUUAGAAAUUAGGCUCAGCUUAGAUGAGAACAAGUUUGUUAAUUUUGGCACUUGUAAUCUUAGUUUAAGCCUUGGAUUGAGACUUUUUACUUGUAUGGUGUGGAUGAUUUAUGAAAUAUAAAUAUUUUAUAUAAAUUUCAAAAGAGGUUUUCGCAAA